GACGAACGCUGGCGGCGUGCUUAACACAUGCAAGUCGAACGGAAAGGCCCUGCUUUUGUGGGGUGCUCGAGUGGCGAACGGGUGAGUAACACGUGAGUAACCUACCCUUGACUUUGGGAUAACUUCAGGAAACUGGGGCUAAUACCGGAUAGGAGCUCCUGCUGCAUGGUGGGGGUUGGAAAGUUUCGGCGGUUGGGGAUGGACUCGCGGCUUAUCAGCUUGUUGGUGGGGUAGUGGCUUACCAAGGCUUUGACGGGUAGCCGGCCUGAGAGGGUGACCGGCCACAUUGGGACUGAGAUACGGCCCAGACUCCUACGGGAGGCAGCAGUGGGGAAUAUUGCACAAUGGGCGGAAGCCUGACGCAGCAACGCCGCGUGCGGGAUGACGGCCUUCGGGUUGUAAACCGCUUUCGCCUGUGACGAAGCGUGAGUGACGGUAAUGGGUAAAGAAGCACCGGCUAACUACGUG
rnacentral:rRNA from 1 species